UCUCUAAUGUGGCAUCGGUUCCGUCGCUCCAAAAAACCCUAAAGGCUUCUCUCUCUCUCUCUCGAAGCUUCCGCCUAAAACCUAGGGCUCUCUUUAUCCUCCGCCUGAAACCUAGGGUCUCUUCAUCCUCUUGAGUGUAAGCCGCUGCCCCUCUGCAUUCAUCUCUCACCUUUUCUGCCUCCACCAUCACCCAUUCCCGAAUAAUCCUUGUGAUGUAGAUCCACAUGUAAUCUGUCUCCCUCUCUCUUUCUCUUCCGCCUUUCGUUGAAGAAUACUCCCUGGCUAUUUUCUGAAGGAUUUGACCGAAUAAAUAUUGAAAUCCUACAGAGAUAAGUAUGAUUUCGAAUGGAUGGCUGAGUUGGAGGUUUGGAUUGAAAUGUUGGUGAUUGAAGAUGGAUGCAGAGAUCGGGUUCGCCGGGCUUUAGCCCAAGAAGGUAAACUGCCGAUGAUGCCCUCUAGCCCCUCUUUUGUGAUGAACUCCGGUGAAGAAUCGGUUUCGUCUUCAAACCCUAGUUCUUAGUUUGAUUCAUUUUUUCUUUGUGAGGAAAAUUGGCAACACAGGGAAAUGAGCGAUGGUGAGUUGAGGAUGUUGAAGAUCCUGCUUCCUGCCUAUUUUCUGCUGCCCAAAGUCGACUAAUCGUUCUUUGCGAACUUCUCCACUUUUGCACCGCUGCACUCAUCUUUCCUCUGCCAAGUUUUCCAUCUUUGCUAUCUUGAAGGAGGAAUUUGAUGAUGACUGCUCUCACAAAGGAAGAAAGAUCUUUUCUUCUAGCCAUCUUGCAGCUGUUUUUUUUUUUCCUUUCUUUCAGGAGUUGUGUAUUCUGCCGAAGGUUGUGGGAAUUGUAGGAAUCAGAUUGUAUGCCUUAUUUAUAAAGGGCUUUAGUUUCCGCCCUUUUGAAAAAUUGUGGAAACUUUGAAAAUUUCAAUGAAAAUGCAUAUUUCAGUUUA